rnacentral:rRNA from 1 species
GAUGAACGCUGGCGGCGUGCCUAAUACAUGCAAGUCGAGCGAACAGAUGAGGAGCUUGCUCCUCUGACGUUAGCGGCGGACGGGUGAGUAACACGUGGAUAACCUCCCUAUAAUACUGGGAUAACUUCGGGAAACCGGAGCUAAUACCGGAUAAUCUAUUUAACCGCAUGGUUCAAUAGUGAAAGAUGGUUUUGCUGUCACUUAUAGAUGGAUCCGCGCCUCAUUAGCUAGUUGUUAAGGUAACGGCUUACCAAGGGAACGAUGCGUUGCCGACCGGAGAGAGUGAGCGCCGACACUGGAACAGAGACACGCGCCAUACUACUACGGUAGGCAGCAGUAGGGAAUCUUCGGCAAUAGGGGAAAGCAUGACGGAGCAACGCCGCGUGAGUGAUGAAGGUCUUCGGAGCGUAAAACCCUGUUUUUAGGGAAGAACAAAUGUGUGAGUAACUAUGCACGUCUUGACGGUACCUAAUCAGAAAGCCCCGGCUAACUACGUG